rnacentral:lncRNA from 1 species
UAACCCACAUGCGCUAAUGACAGAUUAAUUAUGCUCAAAAUUCAUCUCGUGGUUUACAAGCCAGUCGUGAAAUUCAUUUUUUCAUUCGUGACAAAAGCUCCUUCUGGCAUUCGGUCAAACGUCUGAUAUAACAUGAAAAAAAUUUUAUUUCUCCAACUACCCAAACCCCCUUAGUUGCAUAGGAUAUGAUCAUUACUUCAUUAGAUUUUGGUUGUGUUUUGGUCCACGGAUAAAGAUAGAUACUAUAAGAAAUAUUAAUCCAGACUAUUAGAUGCAUAGGAUAUGAUCAAAAUUUUGAUAGUGUUUGGUUCACAGAUAAAGAUAGAUAUAACGGUUAUCUAAUAGCAGCUUGAACAGUAGCUAAUUUGGGCUCCCAAAAAUUAUUUUUAGAAAAUUAGCUAGAUCUCCAAAAUCCCUCAAUACAUAUUUCUCAUUUACAUUGCUCUUAAUACCGAUCGAUCCAAAAAUGAGCCAAAUUAAAUGUGGUUUUCAUACUUUCAAUUGCUCCCGCUAGUAAAAGUUGUCUUUUUUGCGCCCUUGUUCUUUCUCAACACACACCAGUUUCUUUACCGCACUCUUUUUGUCCCUGACAACAUUUGGCCACCUCCACCAUCGUCCAACCUUCUUUCUCUCUGCUGCUCAGCCACCACCGUUCACACCUAGCCUCCUUCCCCUCCAUCGGCCUUCGACAUCCUUUGGCUGCCUCCACCCAAGCAUAGAGGGCACCGUCGUUGUUCAGGGCACCGCCUUCAGACGCCAU